rnacentral:rRNA from 1 species
CGGUACUCAGUUCGGAUUGUAGGCUGAAACUCGCCUACAUGAAGCUGGAGUUGCUAGUAAUCGCGAAUCAGCAUGUCGCGGUGAAUACGUUCCCGGGCCUUGUACACACCGCCCGUCACACCAUGAGAGUUGGCAAUACCCAACGUACGUGAUCUAACCCGCAAGGGAGGAAGCGUCCUAAGGUAGGGUCAGCGAUUGGGGUGAAGUCGUAACAAGGUAAC